GCCUAGCUGGCUCAGUCAGUAGAGCAUGCAACUCUUGAUCUCAGGGUCGUGAGUUCGAGUCCCACGCUGGGCA